GCCUGGGUGGCUCAGUCGGUUGAGUGUCUGACUUCGGCUCAGGUCAUGAUCUCACUGUGGGUUCGAGCUCUGCAUCAGGCU
rnacentral:tRNA from 1 species